NNNNNNNCCUGGCAGGGGAGAUACCAUGAUCACGAAGGUGGUUUUCCCAGGGCGAGGCUUAUCCAUUGCACUCCGGAUGUGCUGACCCCUGCGAUUUCCCCAAAUGUGGGAAACUCGACUGCAUAAUUUGUGGUAGUGGGGGACUGCGUUCGCGCUCUCCCCUG
rnacentral:snRNA from 1 species